UGCAGUCGAACGAGAACUAGGGCUGUAGCAAUACAGUCCUGGGGAAAGUGGCGAAAGGGGCAGUAAGGCAUGGGUAGCCUACCCCGGGGAUCGGCAUAGCCAUCCUAACGGAUGGGUAAUACCGGGCGAUCUCGCGAAGGCGCCUGUUUUUGCGAGGAGAUGAAUUUCGCCUCGGGAGGGGCUCAUGUGAUAUUAGCUUGUUGGCGAGGUAACGGCUCACCAAGGCAAAGAUGUCUAGCGGGUGUGAGAGCACGACCCGCGCCACUGGCACUGAGACACUGGCCAGACUCCUACGGGAGGCUGCAGUCGAGGAUCUUCGGCAAUGGGCGCAAGCCUGACCGAGCGACGCCGCGUGUGCGAUGAAGGCCUUCGGGUUGUAAAGCACUGUCGAGGGGGAGGAAAGCCCGCAAGGGUCUGACCUAUCCCUGGAGGAAGCACGGGCUAAGUUCGUGCCAGCAGCCGCGGUAAGACGAACCGUGUGAACGUUGUUCGGAUUCACUGGGCUUAAAGGGCGCGUAGGCGGUUUCUCAAGUCCGGGGUGAAAUCUUUCGGCUUAACCGGAAAAGUGCCUUGGAUACUGGGAAGCUCGAGGGAGGUAGGGGCAGCUGGAACUUCCAGUGGAGCGGUGAAAUGCGUUGAUAUUGGAAGGAACUCCGGUGGCGAAAGCGAGCUGCUGGACCUCUUCUGACGCUGAGGCGCGAAAGCUAGGGGAGCAAACGGGAUUAGAUACCCCGGUAGUCCUAGCCCUAAACGAUGGGUACUAGUUGUGGACUUAACAUGGGUUCACAGCCGAAGCAAAAGUGCUAAGUACCCCGCCUGGGGAGUAUGGUCGCAAGGCUGAAACUC
rnacentral:rRNA from 1 species